GCCAGACUCCUACGGGAGGCAGCAGUGGGGGAUAUUGCACAAUGGGGGGAACCCUGAUGCAGCGACGCCGCGUGGGUGAAGGAGUGCUUCGGCAUGUAAAGCCCUAUCGGCAGGGAAGAAGCAAGACGGUACCUGACUAAGAAGCCCCGGCUAACUACGUGCCAGCAGCCGCGGUAAUACGUAGGGGGCGAGCGUUAUCCGGAUUCACUGGGUGUAAAGGGAGCGUAGACGGCCAAGCAAGCCAGGGGUGAAAGCCCGGGGCCCAACCCCGGGACUGCAUUUGGAACUGUGUGGCUGGAGUGUCGGAGAGGCAGGCGGAAUUCCUAGUGUAGCGGUGAAAUGCGUAGAUAUUAGGAGGAACACCAGUGGCGAAGGCGGCCUGCUGGACGAUGACUGACGUUGAGGCUCGAAAGCGUGGGGAGCAAACAGGAUUAGAUACCCCCGUACAA
rnacentral:rRNA from 1 species